UCUUGACAUCCUUUGACCACUCUAGAGAUAGAGCUUUCCCCUUCGGGGGACAAAGUGACAGGUGGUGCAUGGUUGUCGUCAGCUCGUGUCGUGAGAUGUUGGGUUAAGUCCCGCAACGAGCGCAACCCUUAAACUUAGUUGCCAGCAUUUAGUUGGGCACUCUAGGUUGACUGCCGGUGACAAACCGGAGGAAGGUGGGGAUGACGUCAAAUCAUCAUGCCCCUUAUGAUUUGGGCUACACACGUGCUACAAUGGACAAUACAAAGGGCAGCUAAACCGCGAGGUCAUGCAAAUCCCAUAAAGUUGUUCUCAGUUCGGAUUGUAGUCUGCAACUCGACUACAUGAA
rnacentral:rRNA from 1 species